rnacentral:lncRNA from 7 species
GGCAACCACCGAAGCAGUAAUUAAAGAUGAAGAGCUAAAAGAGAGAAGAAUAGCAGCAACCUGGUCUCUUUUCACGGAACACAGUAAGCCACCAAAGAGGUGUGGACAGCCAGCGACCUCCACGGAAAUCAUGAAGAUGUCCUUUCUGUUCCUCACUGCCUUCUGCCACAGCCCCUGGUCGGCAAGUGACCAAUUAAAAGGACCAGCCUGUCAUUCAGGAACAAUUGACAGAGGUCUAAGAUGUGUGAGAGAGAAGACAAAGGAGGCAGAGAGAGAGAGAGAGGUGCUGGCCAGACUUGGUGACAAACAGGCCUGACACAGUGAAGACGAAGGUUAAAUACAGAGAAGAAAUAACUUGGAAACGAACAUCAAAGAAGGAUGGUGGAAAUGGUUUAGGAAGAUGUUUUAAGUGUUUUCUUUUCUGUGACCCAACAUAAUACAGACCCGUUACAGUGUGGCAGGGAGGAGAGUAAGAUGAACACCCUAGGACUGCAGGGUCUCAGCCUGGGAUUGUGAUGGGCUGGAGGAAGGUGCUGCUAGCAUUCAUGCUUUCUGCUGGCCCGCUCUUGGCUCUCCUGUGGAAUUCAGUCCUCUGCUUCCAGGACAAGCCCAGCCUGCACUUGGGGAUCCUUGGGUGACCGUUCAACCGU